GUGAGCGUAGCUCAACUGGUGAGAGCACUGGACUGUGGCUCCAGGGGUUGCGGGUUCGAAUCCCGCCGUUCACCCCA
rnacentral:tRNA from 1 species